AAGGCCUUAGCUUAAUUAAAGCAUCUGUUUUGCAUGCAGGAGAUGUGGGUUAGUAUCCCGCAGGCCUUA
rnacentral:tRNA from 1 species